AAGAACACUUCUUGGUGUACUUUUUCUUUAGCGGGAUGCUUGUGUUGAAGAUGCAAAACAAGCAGAAGGAAUCAAUGUGAAAAAUGCCAGGGAAGCAGUUACAGACAAUUUUCUGUGCAGUGGUGGUAAUGAACCAAAAACAGAUGAUGUUGCCUGCAAAGGAGAAUCAGGUGGGGCCACUUAUGUGAAUAAAAAAGGUCGAGUGAUUCAGGUUGGUGUCAUAAGCUGGGGAGUGAAGGAUGUCUGCAAG